CCUAACUGGUGGGAAGUGGCUACUGCUCACACAUGACAUUUCUGAAAGUCUCACAAGAGGAUCUAGGAGGCUGAAAAGAAUUGCUGCAAGCAAGAAGGAGAACAAGCAAUUCCUCCAGAACCUUUCUCUGCUGAAGACUAGGAUGGCCACUUGUGGGUCGUGUUUUUGGUGCAUCAUCUGGCUGGUGAUUCUGCUCUGCAUUGGCUGGCCCCUCGGCAUCACCUUAGGGGCACUCUAUGGUGUCAUCAGCCCCCUCACCACCUGUCUGGGCCUAGACCGACUGUCCGAUCUACUCUUAGAGGGGGCCAACCUGGGCCGAACAUGUGCCCAGAACAUGAGGCACAGCAAGCCUUUGUGUUGAGAUCCACCUAUGGUGAGCAGGACCUGACAACAAUGGGACUGGACACAAGAUUUUUUUGCUUGCAUUCACUUUUAAGAGAAAAAAACUGUCAAUGUCUGUUUUAUGUGAAGUCAUCCUGAGAUGAUUGGCACUCAAUACAGUUUGAAACUUUCCAGCAAUUAUGUAACAAAAAGGUCCACGAGGUCUGGAAAAUGGAUUCCACUAGUACUGUUAACAUGUAAUUAACCAUGGAUUUCAAAUUUGUAUGGGUUUGUCAGGAAGGAAAUAGGCUUUGUGCUCAUGGUCUGUGUUUGCUGUUUAAUUCACGAUGACACUGCAUGGUGAAGAUAAGAAAGAAAAUGGCAAUUUAACAAUGGCGAUGCUUAGACUUGUAAAUGACUGUAUGGAAACUUAUAAUGCGAUUAAAACUGCUUUGAACUUGC